GCCGGGUGUGGCGGCGUGUACCUGUAGUCCCAGCUACUUGGGAGGCUGAGGCAGGAGAAUUGCUUGAACCCGGGAGGCGGAGGUUGCAGUGAGCCAAGAUGGUGACACUGCACUCCACCCUGGGUGACAAAGUGAGACUCCGUCUCAA
rfam:Gorilla gorilla gorilla genomic chromosome, chr3, whole genome shotgun sequence